rnacentral:lncRNA from 1 species
AAGUAGGGAUGAAGACGAUGAAUCUUUGUUUUGUGCGAGGGUAGAAGAUGACGAUGAAAAGGGGAAAAGGUGAAAGAAAGUGUGUAGUCUCCUGAUACCAUAUUAUUAUAAUUGAUAACUGAUAACAAAAAAAUGGUCAUUUGUCCUAGAACUGUAUUGAAUUAUGAAUCACACAUUGUUACAAAAAGGAAAGUCCUAUACUAUAUAAAAAAAAUAUUGGACCAUAACAAGUAAAAACCAUUAAGCUCGAUAUUAGACAACAUAGC